rnacentral:sRNA from 1 species
UUAAAAGAAUAUUGGCAGAGAAAGAGCCUUGGUGUUCCAGCAGGAGCUAAGAGGAACAGGAAAACAAAUGGCAGUAGCCCUGAAACAGCCACUUCUGGUGGUUGCCAGUCACCUGAGGAUUCAGCAACAGGUGUCCAUGGGGAGGGAUCUACAUCAUCUGCUCCCCUGAAGGAUCUGGAGAGCCCGUGCCAAGAACUAGCAGUCGUCCUGGACUCAAGGUCCGUAAAAAUCAGUAAACUGAAUAACACCAUCAAAUCUUUGAAACAACAGAAGAAACAAGUGGAACAUCAGCUGGAAGAAGUAACGUGAUUUCUUUGUUGCUCGACAUGACUGCUGGUUUGGGGGCACUCAGAUGUAGAAGCCCCAGUCUCGUCUCACCCACUCCCAGCCUGGCAAAGAAGGCUCACCCUUCAGAUUCCACCCCAUCCCCACAGGGUCCCUGAUAAACUGGUCCCAUGGGUGGGCCUGUCCUGGGGCAUUGGUGGCAUUCUGGGGGCAUGUCUCUUGCUGUGCCUUCUCUGCCUGCCCCUGGUAAGAGCUUUGUCUUCCUCUUCCUACAGGAAAAGAAGGCAAACAAUGAGAAACAGAAAGCCAAAAGGGAGCUAGAGGUUCAAAUCCAGAGAUUGAAUGUACAGAAAGAGAAACUAAAUACGGACCUGUAUCACAUGAAAUGUUCUCUCAGAUACUUUGAAGAAGAGUCCAAGCAUCUGGCUGGCUGCCUGCAAUAUACAUUGCAGUGUAAGGAGAGUUAGAACGGGCUCUCUGUGCUGUCGCCGCCACCAGAGAAGAAGGAUGGCAGUUCUCGAGCCUCAGUAAAGCACUUAUUGAGUGGCAUUUAGAGCAGUCCAUACAGGAGAAGGCACAGCUGAAAGCACACCUGACACAGUUGAAAGAGUCGCUUAAACAAGUCCAGCUAGAGACAGAUGAAUAUGCUCAACAUAUAAAAGGAGAGAGGGCCCGGUGGCAGCAGAGAAUGAGGAAAAUGUCACAGGAGGUUUGCACAUUGAAAAAGGAGAAGAAGCAUGAUACACAUCGGCUACAGGAGCUGGAGAGGAGCUUGUCCAAACUCAAAAACCAGAUGGUGGAACCCCUGUCCCUGGAGCCCCCAGCAGUGCCCUCUGAGGUGGAGCUGCAGCACCUGAGGAAGGAACUGGAGAGAGUGGCAGGAGAGCUCCAGGCCCAGAUUGAAAACAAUCAGCUCAUAAGUUUCCUGAAACAGGAGCAAAAGGAGAGGCUCCAGGAGCAGGAGGAGAGGCUUCAGCAGCUGGUCGAGCCACAGAGUGGCUUCAAGGAGCUGAACAACGAGAACAAGAGCACACUGCAGUUGGAGCAGCAAGUAAAGGAGCUGCAGGAGAAGCUGGAUGAGGUGAAGGAGGUAGAGUGCCUGGAAGCUGCCAGCCAGCAGAACCAGCAGCUACAGGCCCAGUUAAGCCCACGGCUCUCCCUGGGGAAGAACUCCUGGCCGCUGCCCAGAACCCUGCUGAUGAGCCUGGUCCAGGAGCCCCAGCCCCCCAGGAGCUUAGGGCUGCUGACAAGCAUGGUGAUCUUUGUGAGGUGAGCCUCACGGACAGCAUGGAGCCUGUGCAAGGAGAGGCCAGGGAGGGUGCUCCCCAUGACAACCCUACUGCACAGCCAAUCGUGCAGGAGUACCAUGAGCACCUAGGCUUGGGCAGCAACCCCUGUGUGGCAUUCUUUUGCUGGGCUUGGCUGCUAAGAAGAAGGAGAUAAAUAUCACCAUCAUCAAAGAGCUGGUCAACAAAUUUUUUAAAAAGAAACAAAGUUACGGGGUUAACUCCUACACAAUGCAUUUACUUCAUUUGAAUGUUAGAGCCACUCAUGAUUAUUUGUGUUUCUAAUUUAUAGUUUAAGUUUAUUUGUAAAAAGUUAAAAGACAGUGGGUCUCUGUGGCUUUCACUGAUGUUCACUCUGGCAUCCUUAGCAUUUUUCUUUUUUAAUUUCAUAAUUGUAGGUCAUUAGCAUUCAUAUCGAGUUUGCCCUUAUGUGGUAGGAGUUCAAACACACAAAGACCCACUAUUUGCCCAAAACUAUUCUUGUUGGUUUGGAAUAGGCUACCAUGCUUUUUAAAUGUUAUUGCAGCAUGUAUAUUCAUUACAGAAUUCAGAUAAAAUUUGCUUAUGUUCUGCUAUUUUUUGAUCUAAUCUUAAUCACAGUGAGCUCUUCAUUAGCUCAAUAUGUGGUUUGCCCCCAAGUGUGCACUGUUUAUUACUUUGUAAUAUGCCACUAUGAGUACUGACAUUUAGAGUUGUUUAAAGGCUGAGAAAUGGAAACCGCCUGUUCCCCAUUUUCUGUGUACUGUGACGGGAGUAAUAAUAUAUUGGAGGAGCUUUUUAAAUCUCACAGAAGAGGAAAGUGGCCUGCUCUGGCAGGUAUAUGCAGUACACAGUGUUUCAUUUGUUCCAGUGCCAAGAAUUAGCGCUGUACUAUGGUAGUUACCUUAGGAUUUGUAUGUGCUCUGGGCUCAUGAAGAUAUGGCAUCAUGAGCUGCAGCAGUUGUACUCUUUUUCAAUGACCUAAAAAGGGAUUAUUUCUGAGGAAUGAAAGGCUCCCGUCAUUGACUGUGGAUGUGGAAAACCUUUCCUAGCUUAGAGCAUUUGUAUCUAUAAUACAUUUUAAAGUGAGAGUUCAUGUUACCUGUUUUAAUCACAUGACUUCCUGUCCCAGUACACAAAAGGGCACUGGUUGGCAUUCUUCUUAAUGUAUUUAGUAAAGAUCAGAAGAAAUCCUUUAUGAGUUUAAAUGUCCCUGGAAGAGGCAUACAGGCUCUAGUCAAGAAUGAAUUAGGGUGAAGGAAAGCCAUGUGACACCUGGAAUUCCUCUCUGUUCACGGAGCUUCUUUGAGGCUUGAAGAUUGAUUUUACCAUCUAGACCUCUCUGGCUAAUACCUAUUCUUCAACCACCUUAGUUACUCUGACACAGGAAUUUACUUCUUUUCCUUGAAUGGAAAACACUUUAAAAAAUAAUAACAAGCAUUAUUACAAACUAAUAUAUGUGAGAGUACUUAGUUGAAACAAAAAGGAGUUUUAGUAGACAGUAUUACACUAUCUUUGAAAAUCAAGGAGAAGUUUAUGCAACUUAAAAUGUUUACAAACUGCAGUACAAUCUACUGUUUGUGAAUGUCAAUGUAUUAUCAGGAAACAUGUCUAUACAAUCACAGAGUUAUAUUUCCUCACAAAUUUCUUUACAAAGAGUGAAAUAUGUUUUUGUACCUCUCGGUUUCAGUUAGGGACAUAUUUUUUGAAUAUUUAUGUGAUUGUGCCUAUGCAUGAUGAAUGAAUGAAUUUCAGUGAUACAUUGCCUAAAUCAUAACUUAAUGAUGCUUGGGAAAGAAUCAACAGUUAAAACUUCAUGAAGAUCUAAUGUCUGUGUUCCAAAACACAUCACAUUAUUAGGAUGUAGGGAGAUGUGUAUGUGUGCUCCCUGGGGUGGGGAUCUCUAGUUACUAAACCAUCUCCAUUUUUAGCAUUUGGCAUCCUCAUGAUACUUUUAUAAAUAUGACAUUAACAGGAGAGCAACAAUAUGAUUUUACUGAUGGAAUAACAUAUUUGCCUGCAUUCAACAGAGUGCAAAUAUUGGGUCCUUGUGACCUCAACUGACUCUUCCAAAUUGUAUGAAUGUAUUAAUGUAUUAGAUAAAACCAGUUUCAGAAUGAUAAAGAAAAAAUGUUAGACCAAAUAAUGCGGCUAAUUAACAGUGGUACAAUUUCUAGCCUGUGGGUUUAAAAUGAACUUAAAGUCCUAUUCUUGCCUUUUAUUUUCUGAACUUGCCACUUUCGCAUUCUUUGAGUUUGGUUUAAAGACAGUUACUAGCAUCUGUAACCAAUCUGACAAUAAUGUGUGCAUCAGGUGCCUAUGGAUUAAAUCACACAUUGGCACACUUAAGCUGAAUGUCAGUCUGGAAAAUAAAUUUACUAUAUUAACUGAAACACCACUCUUUGUGUAGGUAUUUGUCAUAUAUUUAAGAAAAAUCUAAAAAGAAUGGAAAUUGUAUGACAAUAACUUAAGUCUUUCUUCAAAGUGCAUGCAGUCUUUUGCGAUACUUCAUUCAGCCAAGUAUUUGUGCUUUUCCUCAUUCAGUACAAGGCAGCUUUCAAUUUGCUUAGAAGGCAACAUUGGAAGGUUAGAGUUAAUCAAAAACAUAGAAUUUUAAAAUGUGAGUUCAACUGAAUAAAUUUGAAUUUCUGUAGGAAGAAUCAAAACACCUAAAGAUUGAAAUAUAUAAUAAUCAUUUUAAAAGUAUUUGAUUAAACCUGAUAGGUUUUCCAGAAAUGAAAAAAAAUCAGCUCUAAAAUCAAAGCUGAUUUUUAGAAAAUUUGAAAAUGUAAAUCAGCCCCAUCCAUAAUAUAGUUUCUCAAAAACUUUAUCUUAAAGAGUCAUUUUUAAAUAAUAUAAUUAUUAAAAAAUAUAACUGCUAUCUUAAUGUUCUGAAAUAAGUUAAAACAUUUAAAAAUAUGAAUACUGUAGUUUAAAAGAAAGAAAUGGUGGGAAGGAAAAGUAGACAAAGAAAUGCCAAUUCCAGUCCAAAGCUUUAUUUGCCAAGUUUUCUUAGAAUGAAUUUUACCAAUUUAUGAAUUCUUAUAAACAUAAUGUAUAAUGGAAAUACUGAAACACUUUUGCCUAAAGUGGCAUUAUUGACUGCUGGCGUGAUGCUACUGUAAUGCAAUAAAUUAUUAAAUUGUUGCAAAGUGC